rnacentral:lncRNA from 1 species
GGAUGUAGACGCCUGGAAAAUGGCCUCGUGCCCUGGUGUUCAGGGCUGCCUGCACUCCCAGCUGUUGAACAAGCAGCCUGAUUCCCUCCCCUGGGGAUGCUGAACAUCCAGGCUGGCCUCGAUGCCCACCUUUACCACUCUUUUCCCGGGAGACCCAGAGCUCUGCCCUGAAGCUGGCUGACCGGAGCUGCCAAUUCAGCAGAGUAAUGAAUGCACCGCGUGUCUCUGGGAAAUUAAGGUAAUCCAUUAUACUCUUGUCUUCCUAUCUCUGCAGCAAGGAUAAUAGCAUUUAACCCACCUUUGCAAUAUACUGAGUGGCUUGUCAGGGUCUCUUCUUUAGAAGGACAACUUGAAAACAUUUUAAUAAAUGCUCCUUAACUAUAUGCUUUAAAAAUACA